rnacentral:lncRNA from 1 species
CCUUCCAUGGCCCUGAGUGGGACCUAGCAAUUUGCCCACAAAGUCUUUCUUUAUAGUUAUGUUGAAAAUGUUACAAUUUUUAUGUUUGUUUGUUUGUAUAGAAAAACUCAUAGUCAACUUUUAGGACAGAAGAUUUAAGUUCGUUUUCCAUUUCAAAUAAUUUUAAUUACAAUGUGUCCAUUUUUAACCUACUGAAAGGAAAAGGAGUAAGUUUGCUUAAUGCCAUUAUUUCCAUACCAGGAAUUGAUGCUUCUAUUCAUUUGAAUAUAUUCCAAUUGCAUUGAAUUUUUUUUACAGUAUCUCCAAGCAGUAAAAAAAAAAAAAAAAUAUAUAUAUAUAUAUAUGAUUUACUAAUCAAAUUGUAAUACACCAUUCAGAGGAAAUACCAUGAUUAUCACACGUGUAUGUCCAUUCUCUAGAAAAUAAGGCUUUAAAAGGUAGGCUGUAGAAAGAAAGGCAAAAGCACCUCUGACUGACUUCAAGAAAGGGGAGAAAAAGA